rnacentral:misc_RNA from 1 species
CAGAGAUUUGUGUCCUCAAAUAGACCAACUAGAUAUGCCUCUGCAGCUUCUUGAAGAGCCGCAACGGCACUGCUUUGGAACCGCAGAUCUGUCUUGAAAUCCUGUGCUAUUUCUCUCACCAGCCUCUGGAAUGGAAGCUUACGGAUCAGGAGCUCAGUGCUCUUUUGGUACUUCCUUAUCUCUCGCAAUGCCACCGUCCCAGGUCUAAAACGGUGCGGCUUCUUCACUCCUCCGGUCGCAGGAGCUGACUUCCUAGCUGCCUUCGUAGCCAGCUGCUUACGCGGAGCCUUCCCUCUGGUUGAUUUCCUUGCUGUUUGCUUGGUACGAGCCAUUUCUGAUGAUUGGGAAAGCGACUGAGCGAAUGCUUGUGUAGAGAGAAAAAGG